UCCCAGCAGUCCGAGUAGCAGCCACAAUUAUUUGGCCUAAAACAUUCGUAGCUCGCCAGGAAAGUUUCCUGUCAAAUCCUCCUGCUUAACAGGAGGGCGUGCAAGAAAUACUUUCUGGCUUGGGACCAGAAGAUGUGAGAAGAACAGCUAAGGUAGUGGUAAAAUACGUUAAUCUUAGCUGGACUAACAACAGCGAAGGCAUUUCACAAGUAUGGAUCCGACGGUGAGGAAUGAAAGCUAGGGGCGCGAAACGGAUUAGAUACCCGUGUAGUCCUAGCUGUAAACACUGCUUACUUGACAUUGUCUUCUCCUCGAGAGAAGGCAGUGCCGUAGGGAAGCCGUAGAGUAAGCUACCUGGGGAGUAUAGCCGCAAGGCCGAAACUUAAAGGAAUUGGCGGGGGAGCACUACAAGGGGUGACGCGUGCGGUUCAAUUAGAUUCUACACCGUGAACCUUACCAGGAGCGACAGCAGAAUGAAGGUCAGUCUGAAGGGCUUACCUGACACGCUGAGAGGAGUUGCAUGGCCAUCGUCAGCCUGUGCCGUGAGGUGACCAGUUAAAUCUGGUAACAGGCGAGACCUACAUUUGUAUUUGCUACGUUAAGAGCACAAUACAGAGACUGCUUGCGUAAGCAAGAGGAAGGUGUAGGCUACGAUAGGUGAGUACGGCCCGAAUCCCCUGGGUUACACGCGCGCGGCAAUGGCAGAAACAGUGAGAUGCAACUCCGAAAGGAGAAGCCAAUCCCAUAAAUUCUGUCUUAGUCUAGAUUGAAGUCUGAAACCCGACUUCAUGACACUGGAAUCCCUAGUAAUCGUUCUUUAGCAGAGAACGGUGAAUAUGUCCCCGCUCCU
rnacentral:rRNA from 1 species